rnacentral:rRNA from 1 species
UACGGAGGGUGCGAGCGUUAAUCGGAAUCACUGGGCGUAAAGCGUACGUAGGCGGCGUGUCAAGUCAGGUGUGAAAGCCCUCGGCUCAACCGGGGAAUUGCACUUGAAACUGAUAUGCUAGAGUUCUGGAGGGGGUAGCGGAAUUCCCGGUGUAGGAGUGAAAUCCGUAGAUAUCGGGAGGAACACCAGUGGCGAAGGCGGCUACCUGGACAGUAACUGACGCUGAGGUACGAAAGUGUGGGGAGCAAACAGGAUUAGAUACCCUGGUAGUCCACACCGUAAACGAUGGAUGCUAGGUGUCGGGUGGCAACAUUCGGUGCCGAAGUCAACGCAUUAAGCAUCCCGCCUGGGGAGUACGGUCGCAAGGCUGAA